GCAGGGGUGGCUCAGUACUAGAACCCUCACCUCCCACGUGGGAGACCCGGGUUCGAAUCCCGGCCAAGGUA
rnacentral:tRNA from 1 species